AGACAAGGUCUCAGGGUUGCUUCCCAGUCCCUCGUUUCUCCUCCCUGCCGCCUUUCCCGCCGUCUUCUCUGAGGGCUCUGUUGGCGGUCCUGUCUUGCCUGCCAUUGUUCUGGACCCUGCACAUUUCAGAGGUCUAGAAGUCUCCUGCCCACCGUCAGCCAAGAGGAAAUGGCCAGGUCAGGACCCAGGCCCAGAUAGGAAUCCUUCCCCACGCCGGUGGCUCCAGAUCUUCAAGCUUGUGACCCCUAGUUCAGGGCCCACUGGGGUACCAAGGUGAAUGACUUUGCCUAGCUGCAAGCUAGAGUAGGAAGACAUGUACCGAGAACCUCAGUUAUAUGGUGAGGGCUGAGACCUUCCAGAAAAUCAGGCACAAUUACUAUCUUGAUUUUACAGUGUUACCUGAAGCCAUCACUGAUGGCAGCCUUCUUGCUGUGUCUUCAUACGGUCUUUGCUUAUAUUCUUUUCCCUUAUAGGUUAUUACAAAAUACUGAGUAUGGUUUCCUGUGCUAUACAGUAGGUCUUUGUUGGUGAUCUAUUUUAUAUGUAAUAGUGUGUAUAUGGGAGAAGGCGAUGGCACCCCAUUCCAGUACUCUUGCUUGGAAAAUCCCAUGGACGGAGGAGCCUGGUAGGCUGCAGUCCAUGGG
ensembl:lncRNA